rnacentral:rRNA from 1 species
GACGAACGCUGGCGGCGUGCUUAACACAUGCAAGUCGAACGGAAAGGCCCUGCUUUUGUGGGGUGCUCGAGUGGCGAACGGGAGAGUAACACGUGAGUAACCUGCCCUUGACUUUGGGAUAACUUCAGGAAACUGGGGCUAAUACCGGAUAGGAGCUCCUGCUGCUUGGGGGGGGUUGGAAAGUUUCGGCGGUUGGGGAUGGACUCGCGGCUUAUCAGCUUGUUUGUGGGGUAGUGGCUUACCAAGGCUUUGACGGGUAGCCGGCCUGAGAGGGUGACCGGCCACAUUGGGACUGAGAUACGGCCCAGACUCCUACGGGAGGCAGCAGUGGGGAAUAUUGCACAAUGGGCGGAAGCCUGAUGCAGCAACGCCGCGUGCGGGAUGACGGCCUUCGGGUUGUAAACCGCUUUCGCCUGUGACGAAGCGUGAGUGACGGUAAUGGGUAAAGAAGCACCGGCUAACUACGUGCCAGCCGCCGCCGUAA